GCAGUAGACGCCUACGCGGAUCCGCAUCCAAGUCGCGAAACCCGCGUGACUGUCACAUUCGUUUUGGCACCGCCCAGAGGAUCCGCUCCGCCUCCGGGCAGCGUGGUGAAUUCUACUGUCCCACACUGGACCCGUGUCGGAUCCGCUCCGCCUCCGGGCAGCGCGGUGAAUUCUACUGUCCGACACUGGAUCUGUGUCGGAUCCGCAGAAGUGGACGCGCCUUUACUGUAAAGGUUGAACUACAACCUCUUGGUGUGCUCUUGCUACGCCGAGACAAGAGUCAUAUCAGUGGAGAUUUUCUUUCCUGGGACACGGUUGCGCUGAACUAUCUGAGUAAGUGUAUUGAUUUAUUGCGACAUUCACAGCAAACAUAGGCCUUUGUGUUUUUUUGCUCAUCAUGUAUAAUGAUUGUAAUGACGUUGUUUGAUAUUAGGACUUUUGUGCAACAUGCUAUUGCUAGCUGAGAGAUUAUGAUGAUAUUGUAGCCCAUUUGAUUUAAAAUGGGAUAGUCAUUUCGGCAGAAUAUGUUAUGGUAGUGUGAUAAAGACUGGUUUGGUCUGUUUUAAUGUGUCGCUGCUAUCCAUAUGUAGCUUAUGCUAUGUUAGCAGCAUGUAGCUGCUAGCUAGCAUGCUGCUAGGCGCGAUUGCAUCAUUUCGCAAGUAUUGAUAAUGCCUAUAUAUAGCUAUAUGUUUGAGUUCACGUUUGCGAUGCAAACCUAUAACUGAUAAAUUGGCACUGGUAUUUCAGUCAAUGAAGUGGGGUCAAUAUUACAGUCAGUGAAGCACUUGUCUGCUAUGAUAGCUAGCAGGUACAAUUUUAGCAUGUUUAGUUUCUAGCUAGCUGUGCAUUAAGUUUGCAUUUUGUCAAGUUUGGUCUCAUGUGUAGUGUCUAUCUGCCAUCCUCUUUAUAAUGAAAAUCAAGCUUCGGCAUUUUAAUCACUGUUUAAGUCGGUUCAGACAACUAAUGGGUAUUGGCGCCUGUUUGAACGUCAAGAAGUACAGGCUUUUCUGCUAAUGGUAGCUACCGAACAUUACUUUGAAACCAUUCAGCAAAUACACAGUACAUAUGGAGAUUUAACAUCACCGCUCAUUUUACACACCGUUUAAAAUGAGCGGCUAGUAAUGAGUGAACAUUACUAGCUAGCUAGCUACGUUUUUCAUGUUGGUUUUGAGCGGUAGGCUCCCCCACUAACCUAGAAAAUAGUUUUAAAACAGUAAAAUUAGCUAGCUAGCUAGCUAAUACGGAGGAAUACUCCAUGCAGCGGGGGAGUCAGAGGCAGAGGGACAGUCACCGCAGCGUUAGCUAACGUUAGCUUCUUGUUUCAUUUGGGGUCUAAUAAAUAGUACUUUUUCCUUCCUUAUACUUCUUCCCACCUUGGGGCACCAUUCAGGUUAACUUUCAGCCCAUCUAACUUGCUUAUUUGUAUACAUUGUAGGCCUAUACUUGUGCAUGCUUUAGUCCAUGUUAUUCCUUUUUUGAUGAUGAAUAAAUACCCUUUUUCUUUCUUUCUACAUUAAGGAUGCCUUUUCAUCUAAUUGAAUUUCAGGCAAGCGAGGACAUUGCUUUUGUGCCAGUUGACUGUCCAACGCCCCUGGAUAUGAUGGUGUACUGGCCCAGCUGAACGUGUGAAACUGGCAGCUGCUAACGAGGAGAAGCAUGAGCCAAACUGGCCAAGAUAUGACGUAAAGGUCGUCAGAACUUGUGACAACUACAAAGACGCCAUCAGGCUAAUGAAUCAAUAUCAGACCGGCUGCAACGCCUCUGAGCUACAGUCUGAGGCAGAGCAGGAGGGAUAGCUGCCAGAGAAAUGAUUCAGGAAGCCAAUCCAUCGUUUUGGGGACUCUGAUGAGUGUGAAGAAGAGCCAGAAAAUUUGGCUGGUGUUUCAGUUGGAGCCUCAAGCCCAAACCAAUUACACUGGCAGACUCCACCAUCUCACGGAGUGCCAUGCAGCAGAGUCACUACUCCUCAACCUGGAGGAAACUGUCUAGCACCUGACCAUGGGGCCGGACCCCAACACCCUUCACCACCUCAACUCCCUGCACCUGCAUUUAACAUGAGGAGAGUUACUCAAGGAAUGGCAGUCCCUCCUCAACUCCCUCCACCUCCCGCACCGGCCCUCAACAUGAGGCGAACAGAGGAGCCCUCUUCAAGCCUGGCCUACAGACCAACAUGGCGAGGGGGAGGAAUGACCGAUACCAUUCCCUGCUCUGUGGCUGAGGUCCACAUCCUUAGCCUGCUGGAGACCAUUAAACAACAACAAGACCAGCUUGUGGCAAAGGUGAACUACCUCAGCAGCAGGCUGAACAGCAACCCGGGGCCAGAUGUUGAGAUGCCGGACAAUAUCCAGUUUCCCCUGGAACAAUUGGAGGCAGUGGAGGCAUUUGAAAUGUUUUUAAAGGAACCGUCAAAUGGCCCAGCUCGACAGAGCGUGGUGCUGUGAGGAAAAACACAGUGACACGGUCAGCCACGGACGCAGAGGUCACCAAGCACGCAAUCAGGUGGUUCAACCUGGCAGCGGAUCGGGCAACGAGGAGACGUGUCCCGCCUCAAGCCACACAAACGGAGUAAUAGGAGAAAUAAGCAAUAAACAAUAUUUUUAUUGAA